rnacentral:rRNA from 1 species
GAACCAGACUCCUACGGGAGGCAGCAGUGGGGAAUAUUGCACAAUGGGGGAAACCCUGAUGCAGCGACGCCGCGUGAGCGAUGAAGUAUUUCGGUAUGUAAAGCUCUAUCAGCAGGGAAGAAGAUGACGGUACCUGACUAAGAAGCCCCGGCUAACUACGUGCCAGCAGCCGCGGGAAUACGUAGGGGGCAAGCGUUAUCCGGAUUUACUGGGUGUAAAGGGAGCGUAGACGGCGAUGCAAGCCAGAUGUGAAAGCCCGGGGCUCAACCCCGGGACUGCAUUUGGAACUGCGUGGCUGGAGUGUCGGAGAGGCAGGCGGAAUUCCUAGUGUAGCGGUGAAAUGCGUAGAUAUUAGGAGGAACACCAGUGGCGAAGGCGGCCUGCUGGACGAUGACUGACGUUGAGGCUCGAAAGCGUGGGGAGCAAACAGGAUUAGAUACCCCGGUAU